rnacentral:rRNA from 1 species
CUAGCUGAGCUAGACGAGCGUAGUUAGCGAACCCCGCAGUAGCGACGGUGGCCUCGGAGGCGGUGGCCACAGGGUGUGGCCUCGACGGCGUCCGCAUCGCCGGCGGCGCCGCGGCGCUGGCCGUUGCGGUAGGGCGCGACCUGGAGAAGAAGAGAGGAAGGGCUAGAGCGCCACCCUAACGUCGCCGGCUCACUUCCUCUGGGUUUCCUCUCCCCUAUAGGUCCGUGGCCUCUCCUCCCCUGCCUCCUCCUCCUCCUCCUCCUCCUCCUUCUUCCACCGGAGCGUGCGUAGUCGAAACAGGAAGGGUACGGUCUGAGCGGGUGCAAGCCAACGACAAGAACUAGGUUGCGGGGCCACGUGUGUUCCACAAACUCCUUUAUACUACUGAAGCUCUAGUUCUAGACUACGUAAAUAAGUCAGGGUACACAGACUGGUACUUUCUUCUAACUUACUGGACUUAAUAUCUCAGUCUGUUCAAUUAGAUGGAGUUUACCUUACGUAAUUACGAUAGUUUGUUUAAUUUCGUCUUCGAAGUUUGUCCCUAUUUAAUCUUGUGAAGUGAUACUUAAGGUCUCGACUUCUUCUACAACUGAAUUCCUCGGUACUCCCUUCACCACUCCUUUGACUUAGUUUUCUACUUCUUCUACUGCCACUUGUACCACUACUUUGACUUAGUCUUCUACUUCUUCCACUCAGACCUGUUCUUCUACUUGUACUUGUUCUUCUCCUUCAAGCUGUUCUUGUCCUCGUUUGUGUACUUCAACAUCUCUUCUGUUCUUCUCCUGGAUGAGUGUACUCCGCGAAGACCUUUCUUGUACUACAACUAUUGUUCUAGUUAAACUUCAAGUUGUCUAAACCAGUCGGUACACCAAACUUCUGUACGUUCGACUGUUUAAAAUAACCUUGGGAUCACUUUCCUUUUCUUUACAGGAAUCGACGAGUUUUGACCUCGUUUCAUGGUUUCAAUCUCUUUCUUUUCAACACCCUAAGACAGUUCCGGAAAAAGUUGUAACUACUCAGUAUGUUUUCUACCCACAACUCUAGUCGGUCAUUUUUUACCUUUCUGAAGUUCCAACAAAAUUUCUCCUUUAUAAUGUUUCGACUAAACAGUGCCCGUGCCUUAUAAGAAUUACCAACACUAUUAUCUUAGGGUUAACCUGUCACCCUCACCGAUCAUUUUGUGACCUCUUGUCUUUUUCGAUUCCUUUUUAGACUCUCUUUGUUUCGGUGAGCCCGUAGCGUUGAGCUCCCUACGUUCCCCUGGGUGUGGCGACCCAGUGCUUCAAAACGUCAACAGGAACUAGUUUACCUCUACCAUCUCCCAUCUCUUUAACCCGCACGGCUCGAAAUGCACCAAUGCGUAUGUUUUUUGUUACCUAUAGGUCAGUUGGUUGUUUCGCCUCAUUUUUACCUACUGUAAUUUUUUUCCUAAGCCCUUCUAGGAAGAAACUAACCACUCCUCCGGGCACUACCACUAGAAAUAAGUAGUUAAAAGGGUUUUCUUUUCUUUCCUUCCGGUUCACCGGAACCAGAUAAUCAUCCACCUCAGCGAAGCCUCGCGGAACGAGUUCAACUUCGACUUGAUGUACGACGAUUUGUUCUCUUGUACCUCGAAGCCGUACACCACGUAUGAGACCACCGUUUAGUUUGAAGUUAUUACCGGUUCUCACUCUCUUACGUUCUUGUCAUGUUACUCGAUUUUUCAAACUAGUAUCGAAGAUCCCCCAGACAACUUUACCCUCUCUAAGGUCUUUUCCUCGAAGGUUUAUUUCUAGGAAGAUUCCUGAACCUUUUGUACUUACUGCUUCUUGUUCGUUGAAGUGAAAGUAUAUGAUGGUUCCGUAGGCUCCGUUACCGACGAGGUUCCGUAGGUCUAUUCCACUUCCGUUGGGUUGACCUUAGUUCCUAUUGUCUUAGUCGUGAUGGUUCAGAACGCGGACACGGUUUUAACUUCUUCUGUUUCUGUUGAUUUGUAUUCUUCGGUCCUUAUAAAGUUUGUGGUGAGGUUUUCCCCGGUUUCCUGCUUAAUUUUCUAUGGUAUUUCACACCGUACCUUCAAUCAAACUGCAGUGGUUUGUCACGUUCACACCACCGUUACCCUUGGUAGGUCUUUUGACUAUCUUUUCGAUUUCGAUAACUACCAGUUGGUGAUCGACUAACACAACUUCAUGAACAGUUGUAGCACGAGUUUCUUUGUUGACUCGACGGAGCACGUGUUCCCUUUUAUUUGUCCGAUCCUUUACGGGUUCGAUCCACAUAAGGUACCGGUGCGUUUUUAUAAUACGUUUGUCUGGCAUGAUGGCACGACGUAAGAUUCCAAAGAUCACAAACAUCAGUCCACAGAAAGUUGUUAUCGCUCUUACACCUAGGGUUGUUUUGUUGAUGACCUUGAGUCCACUGGUUGGUACUCUGACCAACGUCAUGAAGUCUUCCACGUCACUCAUUAUGUGACUUCUCUUUCUUCCAAAGAUUUUGUUGUUCUUACUUUUUUCGAUGAGUUCGUUAGAGACGAUGUUGGCCUUUGUUGUAUGAAUCCUUAAGCCCGUCCCUUUGUACUUUCUACCAGUAUCUUCGGAUCUUUACGACCAUGUGACGAGUUCCAACUUCAACUUCCACUGUGUAGCGACUAAACGAACGGGAACACACACGGGCAGAUUCUAACCGAACGAGAAUACGACCAUGUGACGACUAACCUAACGAGAACGUAGUUCGACCUUGUGAACAAGCAUAACAACAGUGUUGUAAUCCUUCACUGGACACACAAAGACUAACUAUGAAACUAUAACAAAGACUUAAACACUUCUACAAGACUACCACUACGAAACGUAAUAAGCGUACGUGCUACUAUGAAGAUCGGCUACGUUCGAAGAGUUAGAAAAAAAGAUAACAUACACACAAAAAUGUCUCGAUCUACGUUUAAUAAUUCGAACAACAUUAUCACCAAAAUAGUAUAAGAAUAAUACGUAUACAUUUCAAACACCGUAAGAAUACACGGGACCUUUGUAAAACCUCCGUUAUGUUUUCUGCGGUGUAUUACCAAAACGCCGUAAGAAAUCUUUACGGUGUUUUUACAGAACUUCCGUCAUACUCUCUACGGACCGUAUUAAAAAUCUCCGUAGUACUGUUUACGACGUUUAUCAGAAACCUCCGUAAGAUUUUUUUACGGAAGUUAACUCGAACAACCGCAAGACUUUUUUACGGACGCAAAUUAGAAAAACUCCGUAACACCUUUUUACGGAGUUUAACUUGAACGACCGCAAAAUUUGUACGGAGACACAACUGGAAACCUCCGCAAGAUCUUUUUACGGAGUCUUCUGG